AUGCCACCGGCUGGGCUUUUGGCUCGGCGAGUCGUGCGUGGGAGAGCUGAACCGCUGCUGAGGUCUUUGCGUCCUCUCAGAGCGUCUACACGAUGGCUGCACGCCGGCAGGGAGCCACAGGAAGAAGAGUUCCCUUACGCCGACGUGCCCCGGCCCGGGAGGAAAUGGGAGAGGAAGCCGUACGUGACACCGAUGAAGGUCCUCAUCCGGAGGGCCAAGGAGGAGAGACGGGCCCGGCAGGAGACCCCGUGCCGCGUGCUGGAGCACCCGCCCGCCAACGGCCUUCUCGUGCCGCACCUCGUCGAGGUUGCGCAUCGGGUACACAGAGCAAGGGAGAGGCUCCUCAGCGGCCUCGCCAGCCUUGUCAAAGGCGAAGCUGCCAUCCCGGUGAAGCGAUGCAGGUUCUGCUCGGAGGUGCACAUCGGUGACAUCGGGCACGAGAUCAGGACGUGUGAGGGUCCCAACAGCGCGUCUAGGAACUCCUUGCACGUGUGGCGGCCGGGGACAGUACGGGACGUCCUCGGCUUCCCAUACUGCUACCACCUGUUUGAUCGCGUUGGGAAGCCCAGGGUGGUGCACAAGGAGAAGUACGUCGUCCCAAGGCUCCCGGCCAUCCUGGAGCUAUGCAUCCAGGCAGGUGUCGACGUCGAGCGAUACCCAACCAAGAGGAGGGCAAGGCCAGUCUACUCAAUUGACGGCAGGAUUGCAGACUUCGAGCUGGACGAAGAAGACGGCUCCUCCGAAGCAGAAACAUCACCUGAAGCUUGGUCGUGUCCAUUGCCGCCGCCUCAAACGAGUUCUGCUUGUACUGCCUAUGCCGGUGAUCGAACAGAACAAGAGAUCACUGUGAGGGAGAUGAGCUCCAGGACGCUGCAGUCCUGGCUGGAGAUGCGGUCGGGCGCGGUGAAGCUGAUGAGGAAGUACAGUGUGGUCACCUGCGGGUACUGCCCAGAUGUGCAGGUCGGGCCCAAGGGCCACAAGGUGAGGAUGUGCAAGGCGAGCAAGCAUCAGCAGCGGGAUGGCCAGCACGCGUGGCAGGAAGCCACGGUGGACGACAUUGUCCCCCUGAACCAUGUCUGGCACGUCCGCGACCCGGCUGGCGACAGUGUGCCUCUCGCGAACGAACUCAAGAGGUACUAUGGCAAGGCCCCGGCUGUGGUGGAGCUCUGCGUGCGCGCGGGCGCCCCAAUACCGGCACAGUACAGGAGCAUGAUGCGGUUGGACGUCGUGCCGCCCGCACGCGACGAGUACGACCUCGUUGCCUGA
rnacentral:rRNA from 1 species